rnacentral:rRNA from 1 species
ACCUGCGGAAGGAUCAUUAUCGAAUUCCUUGGUUGGAGGCUGUCGCUGGCUAGUGGGCUAGAUUAGCUUCUAGUUUUCUAGCAUGUGCACGUCUUCCAAUCUCACACACACACCUGUGCACCCAUCCGUAGGUCCUCGAAAAGAGGACCUAUGCUUUUUAUCUCAUCACACUCUGUCGUAUGGCCAUAGAAUGAUAAUGAUAAUGAUGAUUACUAUCAUACAACUUUCAGCAACGGAUCUCUUGGCUCUCGCAUCGAUGAAGAACGCAGCGAAUUGCGAUAAGUAAUGUGAAUUGCAGAUUUUCAGUGAAUCAUCGAAUCUUUGAACGCACCUUGCGCUCCUUGGUAUUCCGAGGAGCAUGCCUGUUUGAGUGUCAUCGAAAUCUCAACCAAUGUCCUUAGGGGCUUGGCUUGGAGUUGGGGGUUGCAGGCGCUGAAAGGCGUCGGCUCUUCUGAAAUGCAUUAGUGGAUGGGCGAGCGAAAUCUUGGACAUGCACGGCCUUAUCGACGUGAUAACGAUCGUCGGGGCUGGAGUGUUUCGGAAGUCGCACGAAUAGGCCUAUUUGCUUCUAAAUAAUGAAUGGGUGGGUCUUGAUUUCAGAUUAGCUACUAGUCGGUCGGAAAGGCUGGCGAACACGAUCUGAUGGAGAUGGACUCUACUAUUUAUGCCCAUGAUCUUGACCUCAAAUCAGGUAGGACUACCCGCUGAACUUAAGCAUAUCA